rnacentral:rRNA from 1 species
GGACGAAGAGGACGGUACCCGAGGAGGAAGCCCCGGCUAACUACGUGCCAGCAGCCGCGGUAAUACGUAGGGGGCGAGCGUUGUCCGGAAUUACUGGGUGUAAAGGGCGUGUAGGCGGUGAUGCAAGUUAUCGGUAAAAACCCGGGGCUCAACUCCGGGCUUGCCGAUAAAACUGCAUCACUUGAGUGCAGGAGAGGGAAGUGGAAUUCCCGGAGUAGCGGUGAAAUGCGUAGAUACCGGGAGGAACACCAGUGGCGAAGGCGGCUUCCUGGCCUGUAACUGACGCUGAGGCGCGAAAGCUGGGGGAGCGAACGGGAU